AUCCGGGUGACGAGUCCCACAUAGGACGAAAGGCGCAUUCUGUAU
rnacentral:hammerhead_ribozyme from 1 species